UACGUAGGGUGCAAGCGUUAAUCGGAAUUACUGGGCGUAAAGCGUGCGCAGGCGGUUUUUGUAAGUCUGUCGUGAAAUCCCCCGGGCUCAACCUGGGAAUUGCGAUGGAGACUGCAAGGCUAGAAUCUGGCAGAGGGGGGGUAGAAUUCCACGUGUAGCAGUGAAAAUGCGUAGAGAUGUGGAGGAACACCGAUGGCGAAGGCAGCCCCCCUGGGUCAAGAUUGACGCUCAUGCACGAA
rnacentral:rRNA from 1 species